GACGAACGCUGGCGGCAGGCCUAACACAUGCAAGUCGAGCGGACCUUUCGGGGUCAGCGGCGGACGGGUGAGUAACGCGUGGGAAUAUGCCCUUCUCUACGGAAUAGUCCUGGGAAACUGGGGGUAAUACCGUAUACGCCCUUUGGGGGAAAGAUUUAUCGGGGAAGGAUUAGCCCGCGUUGGAUUAGGUAGUUGGUGGGGUAAUGGCCUACCAAGCCGACGAUCCAUAGCUGGUUUGAGAGGAUGAUCAGCCACACUGGGACUGAGACACGGCCCAGACUCCUACGGGAGGCAGCAGUGGGGAAUCUUAGACAAUGGGGGCAACCCUGAUCGAGCCAUGCCGCGUGAGUGAUGAAGGCCUUAGGGUUGUAAAGCUUUUUCAGCUGGGAAGAUAAUGACGGUACCAGCAGAAGAAGCCCCGGCUAACUCCGUG
rnacentral:rRNA from 1 species